ensembl:lncRNA
UGAAACAAGAUUGAUUGCUUCAGUGAAUUGUUUUACUGUCGAGGGACUUAAAUAACCCAUUUAACAUUACACGAGAACGGACUCCUUCUGGACCGUUUGCGGCGUCUCUUCCCUCAGAUCACAGAGAGGAAAUCAUCAUCUUCAUCAUCUUCAUCAUCAUCAUCACACGGACUCAGAUGUCCCGCGGCGCUGCGUCGGUGAAAUUGGAUAUUUAAGGCAGCGCAGAAAGCAGUUCACAUUCACUCUCCGCGGCGCGCGGCCAGAGAGACGCUCUGCAACUGACUGACAGAUAAUAUGAGACUACAGUCUUGAGAACGAACGACGCUCCAUAACGUGACCGGGAGGAGAACGAGGUACACGGACUCUGUGAGUCCUCGGUGAACGCGGAGGCUGCUUGAGGAGGACGGUGGAUGACCGCGAGCGCUCACUUCAGAAGAGCGCGUGUCACUGAACUCAGCUGCAGGUAGCAAACAGGCUUCCAUAUCGACUGAUCGUCCCAGUUGUCAUCGUAAAACAUUAAACACUCGGAGUGGAAAGAAGACUGCGGGAGGGGCAGCGGAAACACGGGGAGGUGAAAUGGAGGACAGGGAAACCAGACAAGACUGAUAUUGGUGCGAGCGCUGGGGAUGUUGGUUUGAUGGCCAACAACCAUGAAAGCACCUCAGCGUGCAGCAGCACUGAAGGAUUUCAUUGUACUCGCUUUUGAUAAAUGUGAGGGGGAGUGAAGCCAGGAACAAUUCCAGCAGUGUUAUCAGGAGCAAACAGGCAGAGUCAUGGGGCCCCAUCUGCAGGAACGAGAUCGCAGCCAUGUUGCUCACUUUCCUGCGCGAGCGUGGACAGGCCGUGACUCAUUCAGCUGGCAGAGGGAAGCCGAUUCUCCAGAGCAUCUCCUAGACUGCCAACUUAUUUAUUGAUAAAGACAAGUGACCCUGUUUAAACAGGCAGCAUCAUCUUUCCUUAUUUUCACUCCACAAAUAUAACCCAUGUUUAUGUCCAUUUAUAUAUAAAUAUAUAUUUUACAUGUAUAGAUAUUAAUAUAUAUGUAUAAUAUUUUAGAAUAUGGAUGUAUAUUUAUCAAUAUAAUGUAAUUGUUAAAAUAUAUGGGGGAAAUUCAGGUUAAUUGGGAUAUUCAGUCAUCAUCUCAAUAGCAAAAAGUAUCCUAAUUUACCUGAAUUCACCCUAAUAAUAACAAUACAUAAUGUAGAAUAUAUGUGUGUGUGUGUGUGUGUGUGUGCAGUGAC